AUAAGUCCAAAUGGAUCAAUUGUAAUGGUCUAGUGGUGCUAAUUUGAUUUUUUGGUUUGAAAUUAGUUUUUAUUUGUUUACCUAGUUGACAUGCAUCGCAUACUUUGUCCUUAACAAACUUCAUAUUUGGAAUCCCUCGUACUAAUUCUUUAGAUGAGAUCUUAGAUAUUAGUUUCAUACUUGCAUGGCCUAAUCUCCUAUGCCAAAGCCAAGCAUCAUCAUUUAAGGCGGAGAAGCACAUUUCAUUACUUCGUUCAUCAAGGUUGAUGGUGUAGACAUUAUUUU
rnacentral:lncRNA from 1 species